AAGAUUUACCGGGACCGGACCGGACCGGAACGGAACGGAACCGGAAUGAACCGGUACCGGUAUACCGGUACCAAAUCAUGGUACCGUUCCGUUCUGUGUACCGGUUCAAUGUAUCCCAUCCCGUCCCGAAUACUACCGGACCGGAACGGACCGUAAUGGUACCGGUACAACCCGUUCCGGUGCCCAGCCUUACCCAACACUCCACUUUGUGGGAUUACACUGGGUAUGUUGUCGUCUUUUUAUCAACUGAGCAGGAAAAGACAUUUACAUUUAGUUGGAGAAUCUUGAGGUAUUCCAGAUGAAUAUAAAUCAAAGGCACACUAAAAUGAAAAUGUGUAAUCAAAUUUUUGGGUUCUCUCUCUUAGCAAUUAUACCAGAGUUUUUGGUUGCUAAUUCUAUGGUAAAGAUUAGUCUAUGAAAGUGUAUGCCUCUUGUGACAGCUCUAAACUGUUAUUCUUGUCUCCAAGUAUCAUUUCUUAAUGAUUCAUUGCGCUCUUAAUCAACAUCUUUGUAACUAAACAUUCACAAAUGUAAUAUAGCAACUGCAAAGUUAAUUGACACUUUGUCAUUCUGAGAUAUAUCAACAUUAACCUUGAUUCCUUCCAAAUCUUGUAUUUCCCCCAAUGAAGACAUUGUUUCCUUAAUUUCUGCUGUCUUGAGUGCUAGCUUUUUGAUUAACUACAAACCAAGAUUUCAAAUUAUCAAAAUAAGUGUGUUUGUUGUUUGAUCUUUUUUUUGUCUGGGAGGGUGCUUCCAUGCAAGAGGUUUGGAUUUUUACCGAGAACUAAUGUGAUCUUUGCGCUCUAUUACUCAUCCUUUGUUGGAGCGUCAUUACUCUUUGUGAGAAUAACAUGUGUAGCUCUGGGAGGUUGAAAGUCAUGCUUGUGGUCUUCAGAAGGACUAAAGAACACAUGGUUCAUCAGUUCUUGAAGAUGCUGUUGCAGGUGUAGAGUUCCAAACUACUUUCAUUUCAGAACUCGAGCUUGGAGGUAAAAGAGAGGAUAUGUAUGUACA